AUUCUCCAUUUCACCUUCCUGGGGAGUACAAGAACAUACAGAAAGGGCAUGACACUCCACAAAGACCCCCUCUCAUUCAAAUCUGGUAACGUUAAUACAGCAGAGAUGUGUUACCACUGACAUUUACAGUGUGGAAAAGGGGAGAGGAGAGUCCAACUGUUUGUUGAGGAGCCGCUGCUGCCUGUGCUGUUGCUGUUGUCCGACAUCGCCCUCUUCAGGCUCAGAAACCAACAGCAGGGGACAGAUCAAGACUGAUUCUGCAUACGUCAAUAAAAACAAAACAACGAGGGUUCAUGCCUAAAAAGAAUUACGGCGAACGUGGAAUGGAAACAUGUUAAUGAUCAAGAACCAUGCAGUUAGAAUCAAUCAGCUGAAUAUGCAGUGGAAGGAGACAUGUAGUAAGUUAGACUUUAACUGUCUGGUUGAAGCCAUUACAUGGCACUUUCCUGAAGCAAACAAUUGAUGAACAACACUUCUUAGAACAUUUUAGUGCGUGAUUUACAGGCACUCAUUCAUUCUCUCUCUUGGUGAUAGAUGACCAAAAAUGGCAAAAUACAGACAUCGGCGUCAUUUAACCUUCGUACGAGCCCAAAUACCAUGGUUCCGACAUAUC